CUGGACCUUAGCCUGUCCGCAGGCGCCCUGCUGGGGCCUCGUUAAUUUUCCACACUGCACUGGGUAGUACCAGAGAAAGCAGAGAGUGCUCUGGCUGCAGGUUCUACCCACCUUUUCCUCUGGGAACGUAGCAGGAAAGGACAGAGAAAGAAAUUCGGUUUUUCAAAGCCUCGAAACUUAACUUCUCAUUUUCCUCCCCGCACAAGUAGGUUGAAAAUACACAUUGGAUGAACUACUCAGCUUUUCAUGUCACAUAAAAGCAUUUGACUCCA
rnacentral:lncRNA from 1 species